CCUACGGGCGGCAGCAGUGGGGGAUAUUGCACAAUGGGGGAAACCCUGAUGCAGCGACGCCGCGUGUGGGAAGACGGUCCUCUGGAUUGUAAACCACUGUCCCCAGGGACGAAGAUGACGGUACCUGGGGAGGAAGCUCCGGCUAACUACGUGCCAGCAGCCGCGGUAAUACGUAGGGAGCGAGCGUUGUCCGGAAUUACUGGGUGGAAAGGGAGGGUAGGCGGGACUGCAAGUUGGGUGUCAAAUCUACCGGCUCAACCGGUAGCCGCACUCAAAACUGCAGUUCUUGAGUGAAGUAGAGGCAGGCGGAAUUCCUAGUGUAGCGGUGAAAUGCGUAGAUAUUAGGAGGAACACCAGUGGCGAAGGCGGCCUGCUGGGCUUUUACUGACGCUGAGGCUCGAAAGUGUGGGGAGCAAACAGGAUUAGAUACCCCAGUAGUC
rnacentral:rRNA from 1 species